AAAUCAUGUUAGGAGGGCACCUUCUAAUCAGUUGCUUUUACCUCUCCCAGGCUUCAUAGAGGGAUUCACCUUCUUUUUGUCUAAAGAUUUGAACUUCAACCCUAAGCUU